rnacentral:lncRNA from 1 species
CAAUAGCCCACUGUGCCACAGAGGGCAUGCCUUGGAUGUAGAGAGUGAAGACUUUCCACAACUUGUGAAUGAGCCCUCUGUGAGUUUAGCCAAAACAUUCAUGUCAAAGAAAUGGAAAUCUCAAAUAAAACCCAUCGCAGGCCAAGCUCAGGAGGGCUGGCUAGCCAACAAAUCCUGAACAAGGGGGUUCAAGGGAAAAGGAAAACAUGUGUUUCAUAGGCAUCAGGGUGAUGGUUGGGGCAAGAAGGCAUCUGCAGCCUGGGUCACUGGUAACCUGUCGUAGUGACUGAGCUGACACCAAGCCUUGCUCUGAAGCAGGAAUCUUCCUAUUAGUAAAUACCAGGCAAUGUCACUAAAAAGGCUUACAGGCUGAGAAGAGGAACUGAACAAAUCUUGGAGCCAAGAUGCAUCUCCUUUUCAGGUGGUACUUCUCCAGGGAACGAUGUCCUUAUCUGUGAGACCUUGAACUGAAUGGGGGACGAAGGGAACUGAAUUGUUCAGCGGGACUGUAACUGACAGUGGAGCUCCUGGU